rnacentral:rRNA from 1 species
GACGAACGCUGGCGGCGUGCCUAAUACAUGCAAGUCGGACGCACAGUCUAUACCGUAGCUUGCUACACCAUAGGCUGUGAGUUGCGAACGGGUGAGUAACGCGUAGGUAACCUGCCUAUUAGAGGGGGAUAACUAUUGGAAACGAUAGCUAAUACCGCAUAACAGUAUGUAACCCAUGUUAGAUGCUUGAAGGAUGCAAUUGCAUCGCUAGUAGAUGGACCUGCGUUGUAUUAGCUAGUAGGUAGGGUAAUGGCCUACCUAGGCGACGAUACAUAGCCGACCUGAGAGGGUGAUCGGCCACACUGGGACUGAGACACGGCCCAGACUCCUACGGGAGGCAGCAGUAGGGAAUCUUCGGAAAUGGGGGGAACCCUGACCGAGCAACGCCGCGUGAGUGAAGAAGGUUUUCGGAUCGUAAAGCUCUGUUGUUAAGGAAGAACGAGUGUGAGAAUGGAAAGUUCAUACUGUGACGGUACUUAACCAGAAAGGGACGGCUAACUACGUG